UCAACACAAUGCAGUUCCCACCAGGGGUCAGAACCACCCCAAAAUAUCUCUUCAAUAGUCACAUGUACCUAAAAUAAUAGAGAUUAAGACAUGUUAUCAGUAGGCACAAUCUUUCAAUUGAUUAGGUGUUUAACCCUAAAGAGCCCAAAGAACUCAAGUUAAAUAGUUAAAUUGCUCCAUAGCCCCUACCUGAGGAGAGGAACAACUUAUAACAGUUUGCCACGUGUCCAAAAAAAAUUAAUAUGUCCUCAUGGCACCAUUUUAUAAGGUUAGGUUAGUCCAACAAUUAAGAUAAGAUUUAUCAUUCCCACAAACACUCAAAAUUUCUCUUGUUUAAGGUUUUCCCUUAAUCACAUUAUCUUCUUCCGCCUUCAUCUAACUUGACCAUCAGAGUGUUGUCGCCAGCUACAAUUGGUGUUGCCUCUAACGACUACUUUAUUUAUAGGACCAUCCCAACUCUGUCCAUCCCAAAAAACUACUUUUGAGUGAUUAAUCACUGAACCACCUCUCAAAGUGAAGCUCUCAUGAUUUUUUUG
rnacentral:lncRNA from 1 species